rnacentral:rRNA from 1 species
AUUGAACGCUGGCGGCAGGCCUAACACAUGCAAGUCGAGCGGAUGACGGGAGCUCGCUCCUUGAUUCAGCGGCGGACGGGUGAGUAAUACCUAGGAAUCUGCCUGAUAGUGGGGGACAACGUUUCGAAAGGAACGCUAAUACCGCAUACGUCCUACGGGAGAAAGCAGGGGACCUUCGGGCCUUGCGCUAUCAGAUGAGCCUAGGUCGGAUUAGCUAGUUGGUGAGGUAAUGGCUCACCAAGGCGACGAUCCGUAACUGGUCUGAGAGGAUGAUCAGUCACACUGGAACUGAGACACGGUCCAGACUCCUACGGGAGGCAGCAGUGGGGAAUAUUGGACAAUGGGCGAAAGCCUGAUCCAGCCAUGCCGCGUGUGUGAAGAAGGUCUUCGGAUUGUAAAGCACUUUAAGUUGGGAGGAAGGGCAGUAAGCUAAUACCUUGCUGUUUUGACGUUACCGACAGAAUAAGCACCGGCUAACUCUGUGCCAGCAGCCGCGGUAACAC